rnacentral:lncRNA from 1 species
CGGCGAGGCAGCGCGGGAUCCCAGCCUCAGGCGUGCGCGGACGGUGUGCGGGUGAGUCUCCCCAAAAGUGGAGCCCUUGUGAUGACGAGCACAGGUCCGCCUGCGUGCCCGUGGGCUGCUCUCUCACCGGUGGCUCUCAGUCGCGGAGAGCAGAACCCGGCAGCUUCAGGGGCUGCCUGCGGGAGGGUGUUCCCUGCUGUACGUGUGUGUUCGUCAUGGGUGUGUGUGUGUGUGUGUUGGGGGGGGUGCGUCUGUGUGUGUGUCUGUGUGUGUGCGCGCGCAGUGCCUGUCUGUGUGCCGACUUCUGUCUCUCUCUCACGUCUCUCUCUCUCUCUCUCUCUCUCUCUGUCUCUCUCUCUCUCUCUCUCUCUCCCUUCUCGCUCUUUCCGUGGCCCUCUCUUUCUGUCUCUGUCCGUCUGUGUGUGCGUGCGCCUCGGGACACAUGUGCCCUGUGCGCCGGAGGGUGGG